UACGAAGGGUGCUAGCGUUGUUCGGAAUUACUGGGCGUAAAGAGCGCGUAGGCGGCUAUUCAAGUCAGAGGUGAAAUCCUGGGGCUCAACCCUAGAAUUGCCUUUGAAACUGUAUAGCUUGAGUGUCGGAGGGGAUAGCGGAAUUGCUAAUGUAGAGGUGAAAUUCGUAGAUAUUAGCAGGAACACCGGUGGCGAAGGCGGCUAUCUGGACGACAACUGACGCUGAGGCGCGAAAGCGUGGGGAUCAAAC
rnacentral:rRNA from 1 species